ACGCGGACCUGAGGUAGAAGCGGGUCGGCUCGCGGGUUAUAGGAGUGAAACGGCGUCGUUUUGGCCACUGAGGUUAAGGCCCAAAACGGCGCCGUCUAGGUCCUCUAUAAAAACCAAAAUUUAAAAAAAAACCCUCAAUUCUUCCUUUGUUCUCCAAAAAUAUCAGAAAAACCUCUCCCCCAUCUCCUUCAAUUCCCAGAAUCCAGCCUGCCCCGACGCCGGACCACCGUGGCGGCCGCCGUACACGGUGGCCGAAAACUGAAAAGGCCCCACUUUUUUUGGGGUUUUCGAUUCCAAGGCCAAAAAAACACCGAUUUUCAUCGGAAUCGGUACCUCAAUCUCGCGAUGGCGCAAAAGGUACGGAGGGACUGUACGGCGGUGACGUGGAGGGGACGCGUGGGAGAGCAGGUGGCGGCAGAAGCUAGGGCAAGAGCGGCGGCUAGCUAGGGUUUUUUCUCUCUUUUUUUUUUUGGGGCUGUUUGGGUUUGGAAUUUUAGGCCUGUUACUUUAUUUUGUAAUUUGGGGUAGGGUAAUAUGGGCUUGUAAAAAGAAUUGAGUUUUGGCAUUAAUUAUUUUUUGUGUUUUAUUAUUUGGGUUUGGGUCAGGCCCAAAAAUGGCCUAUUACAAUGCUAACAUCAGAUUUAUUUUUCAAGAGGUAAAGUCAUUUCACUCGACUACAAUCAUCAAUAAAUGAAACACCAGGAAUAUUUGAACUGGUAGAAAAAGGAACAAAAGGUUUUUUUAUUAUUAUUUUUUAUUACUUAUUGGAAAGGAAACAUGUUUGUACUUGGCAAGUUCACAAUCAUUAAAAUGAAAGGCUUCAGAAGUAAGACCUUUAAAUGAAGAAGAAAACAUCAACAUGAACUCUAAAAGAUGGAUGACCUAAACAAUGAUGAUGAAGCUAAAUUUUAUUUUGGUUUGACAUGACAGACUCGGAAAAAAAUGAUAUAGAUAUAAGAUUUUCAACACGUUAUACUGCUUUCUUUUUCCAGGAAGUAGAGACUGUCUCUCUAACUAGCACGUCCAAUCAUCUUCUUCGUGUCCAGUGGAAAAAUGUUACACUGCAAUUUGAAUCUGUGGUUAAUUGUUGAAUGAAAAUAAGGCUUGCAAAUAGCUUUGGAACAUGGAGGACAUUUCUUAGUGUAAGGUUCUUGUUUAUGUAAACAUCCCCUUGGCCAGCUAUGAUGGUGAUGGAUUCGUCGACUAUUGUGAUAUUUUUAUGGCUACAAUUUGGAGUAUAAGAGAUAAAAUGUUUGGAGGAACAAGUCAUAUAGUCAGUGGCUUUGGAAUCAAUCACCCACAUGGGAGGAGAAUUUCUUUUUGAGACAUUAGUACAAGAGGAAGAAGAAAUACCUGAAAACAUCAAUGAACAAGUACCUGUCGAGGUUGACUUCUCAAACGAUCCCAAAAAGGUUUUUCAUUGGGCUUGCCAUGAAGUUUACAGCAUCUCUCCUUGGUGUGACGAUGCUUCUCGCAAUAUGUGCAGAAUAGAAAAUUUUGAUUGAAUGGUUUGGUUGAGUCCCCUUGAGUAACUAAUGAAGGAAUGUCCGUCUCUUUCAAUUCUGUGGCUUUGGUAACAAGUGUAGAACCAUUUCCCUGACGUCCCUUUUCAGCACGUAUAAUAGAGAUUGUCCCAUUCAAAGAUGGUAAGUCCAAAUUUUCCAAAAUCUGCACUCUUAUAGCAUCAAAUUCAACAUUUAAUCCUGCAAGAAAAUCAUAAAUACGAUUUUUCUCCACAAAUCGCUUCAGAAUUGCUGCAUCUUCAUUGUAGCGCAUUUGGAUGCAUUGAUGAUGGUCCAUCUUUUGCCACAAGCCUUGUAAGAAACUCGAAUAUUCAAUGACAGUUUGUGUCCCUUGUUUAGUUGUUGAAAUUUUUGUCUUAAUUUCGUAGAUUUUUGUAGCAUCAUUAACCUUGGAAUAUGCUUGUCAAAUAGCUUCCCAAAUCUCCUUGGCAGUUCUGAGAAACAUGCAUGCAUCACUAAUUUCUGGCAGCAUCGAGUUCCAUAACCAUGACAUCAGCAUGGAGUCUUGUUCGUCCCACGCGCAAAUUUGGGAUCGUCCUGCAAAAGACCUGUGCCCAUUAAAUGGCUUAAUGUUUCUC